rnacentral:rRNA from 1 species
GAAAUUUAACGGAUUUGGCGGCAAGAUAGCCCCUUAGAGGAACCUGCCCUGUAAACGAUGAACCACGAGGGACUCUACUUUCUUUGGUAGUCAGUUUGUAUAUCGCUGUUGUCAGUUAGAUUCUUGAGAAUAUUUUCGUUUAUGAAAAGUUCAUUGACUUCAAGUAAAGGUGCAGCUUAUAAGGAAGAUAGAGGUGGGUUACAUUUAUGAGAAUAAAACGGAAAGGAUGGAUGAAACAAUCCUUGAAGGUGGAUUUAACUGUAAAACUUAAGUAGGUUUGGUGAGAGCUCUAUCUUGUGUACACAC